GGUGAGGUGGCCAAGUGGUGAUGGCUAUGGACUAGAAAUACAUUGUGUUCCGUAUGUGUGGGUUCAAAUCCCAUCCUUAUCG